AGGGUUUGAUCCUGGCUCAGGACGAACGCUGGCGGCAGCCCUUAUACAUGCAAGUCGAACGAGAAAGUUCCUUCGGGAGCGAGUAAAGUGGCGGACGGGUGAGUAACGCGUAGGAAUCUACCUUUCAGUGGGGGAUAGCUCGGGGAAACUCGAAUUAAUACCGCAUACACCCUUAGGGGGAAAGGGGGCCUCUCCUUGGAAGCUCUCGCUGUUAGAUGAGCCUGCGUGAGAUUAGCUUGUUGGUAAGGUAAUGGCUUACCAAGGCUACGAUCUCUAGCUGGUCUGAGAGGACGAUCAGCCACACUGGGACUGAGACACGGCCCAGACUCCUACGGGAGGCAGCAGUAGGGAAUAUUGGACAAUGGGGGAAACCCUGAUCCAGGCAUGCCGCGUGUGUGAAGAAGGCCUUAGGGUUGUAAAGCACUUUAAGUGAGGAAGAAAAGAUUUAAAUUAAUACUUUAAAUCCCUGACAUUAUUCACAGAAUAAGGACCGGCUAACUCCGUGCCAGCAGCCGCGGUAAUAC
rnacentral:rRNA from 1 species